rnacentral:rRNA from 3 species
AGGGGAUCCACCCGUUCCCAUCCCGAACACGGAAGUUAAGCCCUCCAGCGCCGAUGGUACUUGGGGUUCACCCCUGGGAGAGUAGGUCGUUGCCAGGC